CGCCUACUUGGAAGCACCUACCUGCAGAAGGGGAUGGUCCCUAUGUAAGUCAAAGGCAAGGUUGCUCUCUCUACACUUUCGCAUCAACAAGAGCACGGGGAUGGUCGCCAGGAGUGCUCUUUACAGUGCGAAGAGGGCGUCCUCUGAGCGCUCCUGCUUCUUCCUGCCUGAAGGAUUCGUAGGAGGAGUGGGGGCCUCCAGUGGAGGAGAAGGGAAGAUGCUCCAGAUGGAUGCACUAUGGAACAUCAGCUACCAUGAGUUUGGUGGAUUGGAAGAGGAUCUCUGCUGGGUGAUUGUAUCAGAAGAGAGCAAGAUGGAUAUUCUGCUCAAAAGCACUGGACUGAGACAGCUCUGAAAGCCAGAGGCUUCCCUGCUUACCUUCACUUGUCACGCCUUCUUCCAGUUCUUCUCCUUUCUGCAGUCGGGACAAAGAAACAAUUACUACUGGAACAUGAUGACCUAGAUGAGUCACAUGGUGCUCAUGUCAGGAGGCAGAUGAACGACCCAGUACUUCUCUGUGUUGCAGAGCAAGAGAAAUAGUCCAAAUGAUGGUGCUAUUGAUUAUUGGUGACAUCCAUUAUCAGUGAACUCCCCAUUAGAUCUGAGUGACAGUCAAUCGCCAUCUUCUCCACUUCCAAGAGAGCAGGCCUUUUCUUAUCAAGAGAAGCCAUAACCUGAUACAAAACUGAAUAACUACAGGAGAUGCCACCUCACCUGUUUACAAUUCCUUUAGGACAUCAUGGCUGAGGCUUUCGUUAAUAUUGCAUCGUAUUUAAAAGCUUAAAUCAAAUGAGGUAGACACCCCCCCCCAUGAAGUGUUUAGGGACAAUAUUUUUCCUGAAUAAAAUGGAUGGUUCAUUUUGGAUUUAGAAUUCAUGAUUGAGGGGGGAAAAAAAGCUGAUUGUAAAGCAUGUGACGCCACGAACGAAGACAAGAAUAAGAUGGGCAGGCUGAAAUAAAAUGAUAGGGAGCUAGUCUGUUGCCAGGAGAAGUAGCAAUGGUUAACAUGCUACAAGUUUAGUACCUUUUUGCCUUUAGACAUCUAGCAUGUGUUUCACCAGGAUCUCAGAAUUCACAAUUAUUAAAUAAGGAAACUGUAAUAAAUCCUAACUAUGUGGCAUAAUUUUCAAAUAAUUACCACCUGAAAAAAUAAAAUGACACUAUCAAGUAUUUUAACCCCCCCACAAAUCUAGUCUCCUUUGGAAGUGAGGAGUAACUGCUCUACCUCAUCUGUAAAACAGGAAUACCACCUGCCUUACCAGGGUUUUGGGAAGACUAAUGCUUUGAAGAUUAAGCAUCAUGUAAGGUGUAAGCAUCAUUCUAUUGUACAGAAGUUUUUUUAAUGAGCACGUAGCCAAGGCUUAGUGUAUCACGCUAUUGUUUGCUCUACCGUGUCCAUCAACUGAGCUGUACUGAUGUUACUUCCCUGAAGUAUUCCGUGACAAGGCCUAGUCAUGUACUUUGGGCUCCCUUGAACUGGAGAACAGGAGGCUGAACUAAACAUUUGUCGAAAUAGGGAAAAGCAAAAAUCAGCAGAGAAACUCCCCCUUCCCUCCCUCAGUGAAGUUUCAAGAUUGUAAAAUGACACUAGCCAAAAGAAGAGGGGUGCAGGGGCAGAGAACAGACAUUUAAAAGUUCUUGAAAGUGUGCCACUGCUGUCAAAGCAAUUUAAAUGGAGACAGGUAAGAUUUACUGUUUAACUGUAAAGAACCUAGGCCCCGAUUCAACAGUCCAGCUAUUCAGCAUAGCACUUGAGCAUAGAUUUAAAAUUAAGCAUGUGCUUAAAUCCCAAUGACUUCAAUAGGCCUUAAGCAUGUGCUUAAAUACUGUGUUAAAUAAAGGUGGACUUCAGCAUGUGCUUAAAGGCUUUCCUUAAUUGGGCUCCUUAAAUCCAAAUUCCUGACAAUCGUACCACCUCUGUGACACUGAGAAUGGAGACGUGAAAAUACAACAGCAGCUCAGAAACAUGUUUUGGAUGAGGUGACUGCAAAUAGCAACUAUAAGUCUAUGUACUUACUGAUUUCCUUCCCUAGGGAAGGACCCAAAGAUAUGCUUUAUACGGUGUCAUUCCCUCCCACAGAGGAGCACCAAUAGUUUGCAUUAAAAGUUAUGCAUAUGCACAAGUGCUACUUCCUACAUGAAAAACAAAAUAUAAAAAGUCAAG